AUACGGAGGAUCCGAGCGUUAUCCGGAUUUAUUAGGUUUAAAGGGUGCGCAGGCGGAACUGUAAGUCACCGGUGAAAUCCUACAGCUUAACUGUAGAACUGCCGGUGAUACUGCGAUUCUUGAGUAUAGUUGAGGUAGGCGGAAUGUGUAGUGUAGCGGUGAAAUGCAUAGAUAUUACACAGAACACCGAUUGCGAAGGCAGCUUACUAAACUAUUACUGACGCUCAUGCACGAAAGCGUGGGGAGCGAACAGGAUUAGAAACCCCUGUAGUCC
rnacentral:rRNA from 1 species